rfam:Bifidobacterium scardovii strain LMG 21589 Contig01, whole genome shotgun sequence.
UUUGUGGAGGGUUCGAUUCUGGCUCAGGAUGAACGCUGGCGGCGUGCUUAACACAUGCAAGUCGAACGGGAUCCGGCCAGCUUGCUGGUUGGUGAGAGUGGCGAACGGGUGAGUAAUGCGUGACCGA